rnacentral:rRNA from 1 species
GGAGCGAACGCUGGCGGCAGGCCUAACACAUGCAAGUCGAACGGACCCUUCGGGGUUAGUGGCGGACGGGUGAGUAACACGUGGGAACGUGCCUUUUGGUUCGGAAUAGCUCCUGGAAACGGGUGGUAAUGCCGAAUGUGCCCUUCGGGGGAAAGAUUUAUCGCCAUUAGAGCGGCCCGCGUCUGAUUAGCUAGUUGGUGAGGUAAAGGCUCACCAAGGCUACGAUCAGUAGCUGGUCUGAGAGGAUGACCAGCCACAUUGGGACUGAGACACGGCCCAAACUCCUACGGGAGCAGCAGUGGGGAAUCUUGCGCAAUGGGCGAAAGCCUGACGCAGCCAUGCCGCGUGAAUGAUGAAGGUCUUAGGAUUGUAAAAUUCUUCACCGGGACAUAAUGACGGUACCGAGAAGAAGCCCGCUAACUUCGCGCCAGCAGCCGC